UAUUCACACGAGGAUAUUCCAAGAAUUGAAGUUUAUAAAGGAAAACUCUAUUCAUAUGCAACCGAAUGUACAACGGCCUGAUGCACUUUGAAACUUUUAAAACACAUAACAAAGGCAUGACUGCGACCUCAUCACAAUGACGACACAAUGGAAUUGAUGCGACAAAAGAUAAACUGAAGUGGAAACAAGAAUAAUCAGCCACGAAAAUUCAAGAGAACCCAUAGAGAUGAAAAGCUAAACAUGUGGGAAAUCACCAUAAGAAGCGAAAAUACAAAUACCAAUUUCCAAAAGAUUACGAUGAUAAAAACAUAGAGUCAAAACGCAUCGUGUGAGAUCAGCUCAACAACAACAACAACUAUUUCAUG
rnacentral:misc_RNA from 1 species